CCCAGACUCCUACGGGAGGCAGCAGUGAGGAAUAUUGGUCAAUGGCCGAGAGGCUGAACCAGCCAAGUCGCGUGAGGGAAGACGGCCCUACGGGUUGUAAACCUCUUUUGUCGGGGAGCAAAGCGAGUCACGUGUGACUCAUUGAGAGUACCCGAAGAAAAAGCAUCGGCUAACUCCGUGCCAGCAGCCGCGGUAAUACGGAGGAUGCGAGCGUUAUCCGGAUUUAUUGGGUUUAAAGGGUGCGCAGGCGGCACGGCAAGCCGGCGGUCAAAUCGCGGGGCUCAACCCCGCCCAGCCGUCGGAACUGCCGGGCUAGAGUGGGCGAGAAGUGCGCGGAAUGCGUGGUGUAGCGGUGAAAUGCAUAGAUAUCGCGCAGAACUCCGAUUGCGAAGGCAGCAUGCCGGCUCCACACUGACGCUGAGGCACGAAAGCGUGGGUAUCGAACAGGAUUAGAUACCCCCGUAUG
rnacentral:rRNA from 1 species